rnacentral:tRNA from 1 species
ACCUGGGUGGCUCAGCGGUAGAGCAUCUGCCUUUGGCUCAGGUCGUGAUCCUGGGGUCCUGGGAUCGAGUCCCACCUUGGGCU